rnacentral:rRNA from 1 species
GUAGGGAAUAUUGGGCAAUGGAUGCAAGUCUGACCCAGCCAUCCCGCGUGCCGGAAGAAGGCCCUCAGGGUUGUAAACGGCUUUUGACGGUGAAGAAUCGACAGGAUGCGUCCUGUUUUGACGGUAGCCGUUGAAUAAGCACCGGCUAACUCCGUGCCAGCAGCCGCGGUAAUCCGGAGGGUGCGAGCGUUGUCCGGUUUUAUUGGGUUUAAAGGGUGCGUAGGCUGGAGUGUCAGUCAGCGGUGAAAAGCUGUCGCUUAACGAUGGUCUUGCCGCAGAUACUUCCUUUCUUGGAUGAGGGGGAGGCCACUGGAACGGAUGGUGUAGCGGUGAAAUGCAUAGAUAUCAUCCAGAACACCGAUUGCGAAGGCAGGUGGCUGUACCUUAAUCGACGCUGAUGCACGAAAGCAUGGGGAGCAAACAGGAUUAGAUACCCUAGUAGUCC